rnacentral:rRNA from 1 species
AUACGAAGGGUGCAAGCGUUACUCGGAAUUACUGGGCGUAAAGCGUGCGUAGGUGGUUGUUUAAGUCUGUCGUGAAAGCCCUGGGCUCAACCUGGGAAUGGCGAUGGAAACUGGGCGACUAGAGUGUGGCAGAGGGUAGUGGAAUUCCUGGUGUAGCAGUGAAAUGCGUAGAGAUCAGGAGGAACAUCCGUGGCGAAGGCGACUGCCUGGGCCAGCACUGACACUGAGGCACGAAAGCGUGGGGAGCAAACAGGAUUAGAUACCCUGGUAGUCCACGCCCUAAACGAUGCGAACUGGAUGUUGGGUGCAAUUUGGCACGCAGUAUCGAAGCUAACGCGUUAAGUUCGCCGCCUGGGGAGUACGGUCGCAAGACUGAAACUCAAAGGAAUUGGCGGGG